CAAUCCCGAUUCGGGGAGGUAGUGACAAUAAAUAACAAUACAGGGCCAACGGUCUUGUUAUUGGAAUGAGAACAAUUUAAAUAACUUAACGAGGAUCAAUUAGAGGGCAAGUCUGGUGCCAGCAGCCGCGGUAAUUCCAGCUCUAAUAGCGUAUAUUAAAGUUGUUGCAGUUAAAAAGCUCGUAGUCGGAUGUCGGGCUCGGGCAGGCUGUCGGCUUCGGUCGGACGGCAGGCUCGGGUCUUUCUGCCUGAGGAUCCCGUUGCACUUAAUUGUGGGGCGUGGGGACGCAGGCCGUUUACUUUGAAAAAAUUAGAGUGUUCAAAGCAGGCCUACGCUUGAAUACAUUAGCAUGGAAUAAUGGAAUAGGACUUUGGUGCUAUUUUGUUGGUUUAUGGGACCGAAGUAAUGAUUAACAGGGACAGUUAGGGCCGUUUAUAUUUCGUUGUCAGAGGUGAAAUUCUUGGAUUUACGAAAGAUAAACUUCUGCGAAAGCAUUCGGCAAGGAUGUUUUCAUUGAUCAAGAACGAAAGUUAGGGGAUCGAAGACGAUCAGAUACCGUCGUAGUCUUAACCAUAAACUAUGCCGACUAGGGAUCAGUGGAUGUCAAUUUGCGACUCCAUUGGCACCUUGUGAGAAAUCAAAGUUUUUGGGUUCCGGGGGGAGUAUGGUCGCAAGGCUGAAACUUAAAGGAAUUGACGGAAGGGCACCACCAGGGGUGGAGCCUGCGGCUUAAUUUGACUCAACAUGGGAAAACUUACCAGGUCCAGACAUAGUAAGGAUUGACAGAUUGAAAGCUCUUUCUUGAUUCUAUGGGUGA
rnacentral:rRNA from 1 species